AUUGAACGCUGGCGGCAUGCUUUACACAUGCAAGUCGAACGGUAACAGGCCGCAAGGUGCUGACGAAUGGCGAACGGGUGAGUAAUGCAUCGGAACGUGACCAGUCGUGGGGGAUAACGCAGCGAAAGCUGUGCUAAUACCGCAUACGAUCUAUGGAUGAAAGCGGGGGACCGUAAGGCCUCGCGCGAUUGGAGCGGCCGAUGUCAGAUUAGGUAGUUGGUGGGGUAAAGGCUCACCAAGCCAACGAUCUGUAGCUGGUCUGAGAGGACGACCAGCCACACUGGGACUGAGACACGGCCCAGACUCCUACGGGAGGCAGCAGUGGGGAAUUUUGGACAAUGGGCGCAAGCCUGAUCCAGCAAUGCCGCGUGCAGGAAGAAGGCCUUCGGGUUGUAAACUGCUUUUGUACGGAACGAAAAGGUUUGGGUUAAUACCCUGGGCCGAUGACGGUACCGUAAGAAUAAGCACCGGCUAACUACGUGCCAGCAGCCGCGGUAA
rnacentral:rRNA from 1 species